GUGGGUAUAGCUCAGUGGUAGUGCAUGGUUAGCAUGAAUAAGGUCCUGAGUUCAAUUCCCAGUACCUCCA
rnacentral:tRNA from 1 species